rfam:Schistosoma margrebowiei strain Zambia genome assembly, scaffold: SMRZ_contig0000608
AUCCAGCUGACGAGUCCCAACCAGGACGAAACGCGCGUCCUGGAU